UUCCCAUACAAGAUCACCAAAGUUAAGCCAAGUUGAGCUUGGUCAGUACCUAGUAGGUGACUGCUUGGGAAUACCAGGUGCUGUAAG